GCCGAAAUAGCUCAGUUGGUAGAGCACUUGACCUGUAAUCAAGUGGUCGUGGGUUCGAGCCCCUCUUUCGGCU
rnacentral:tRNA from 1 species